AUAAUACUCCCUCCGUCCGGAAUUACUUGUCAUCAAAAUGGAUGUGUCUAGAACUAAAAUACAUCUAGAUACAUCCAUUUCAAUGACAAGUAUUUUCGGACAAAGGGAGUAGUAG
rnacentral:pre_miRNA from 1 species